rnacentral:rRNA from 1 species
UUGGAGGGCAAGUCUGGUGCCAGCAGCCGCGGUAAUUCCAGCUCCAAUAGCGUAUAUUAAAGUUGUUGCAGUUAAAAAGCUCGUAGUUGAAUUUCGGGAUCAAUUUGUCGGUCGUGCCUCGGUACGUACUGGUAUUAUUGGUUUCUACCUUCUGAAGAACCUUGAUGUCAUUAAUUUGGUGUCUUGGGGAAUCAGGACUGUUACUUUGAAAAAAUUAGAGUGUUUAAAGCAAGCAUACGCUUGAAUACAUUAGCAUGGAAUAAUGAAAUAGGACGUUUGAUUCUAUUUUGUUGGUUUCUAGGAUCGACGUAAUGAUUAAUAGGGAUAGUUGGGGGCAUUAGUAUUCAAUUGUCAGAGGUGAAAUUCUUGGAUUUAUUGAAGACUAACUACUGCGAAAGCAUUUGCCAAGGAUGUUUUCAUUAAUCAAGAACGAAAGUUAGGGGAUCGAAGACGAUCAGAUACCGUCGUAGUCUUAACCAUAAACUAUGCCGACUAGGGAUCGGAUGAUGUUAAUUUUUUAAUGACUCAUUCGGCGCCUUACGGGAAAC